rnacentral:rRNA from 1 species
UACGUAGGGGGCAAGCGUUGUCCGGAUUUAUUGGGCGUAAAGAGCGUGUAGGCGGCCUGAAAGGUCAGCUGUGAAAACUCGAGGCUCAACCUCGAGACGUCGGUUGAAACCAUCUGGCUAGAGUCCGGAAGAGGAGAGUGGAAUUCCCGGUGUAGCGGUGAAUGCGCAGAUAUCGGGAAGAACACCCAUGGCGAAGGCAGCUCUCUGGGACGGUACUGACGCUGAGACGCGAA